UACGUAGGGGGCUAGCGUUGUCCGGAAUCAUUGGGCGUAAAGAGCGUGUAGGCGGCCCGGUAAGUCCGCUGUGAAAGUCGGGGGCUCAACCCUCGAAUGCCGGUGGAUACUGUCGGGCUAGAGUGCGGAAGAGGCGAGUGGAAUUCCUGGUGUAGCGGUGAAAUGCGCAGAUAUCAGGAGGAACACCAAUUGCGAAGGCAGCUCGCUGGGACGUAACUGACGCUGAGACGACGAAAGCUAGGGGAGCGAACGGGG
rnacentral:rRNA from 1 species